AAAUAAUCCUGUGAAAUAAUAUGGUGAGCUAUUGUUGCUGUUGCUUCUGAACUACAAAAUGAUUUUUAAAUUUAUUAUUUAAUGAGACUGUACAUUAUAAAUGUAAUGCUUUAACUCUAGAUGUUUGUUUGUGUAAAUGCUGUGUGUGCGUUGAGUCCUGCGCGAGCGGGGAGCAGAGUUGCCAUGGAAACGGGGCGUCAACACAAAAACCGUUACUGGCAAGCAGUAAUCUCCGUCUCUUGCUGCGGUUUACACUGUUUUGGAAACGGUUUAGUGUCUUCGGAAAAGUCCGUUAUCAUUUUAGCAGUUUUUAGAUGUUUGUUUGUGUAAAUGCUGUGUGCGCGUUGAGUCCUGCGCAAGCGGGGAGCAGAGUUGCCAUGGAAACGGGGCAUCAACACAAAAACCGUUACUGGCAAGCAGUAAUCUCCGUCUCUCGCUGCAGUUUACACUGUUUUGGAAACGGUUUAGUUUCUUCGAAAAAGUCCGUUAGCAUCUUAGCAGUUUUCAGGAGGACAGAAAGAAACUCUACAGAACAGAAGUGAAGCUCCAAGAUUUCAACAUUUCUGAAGGGAGAUUCUGACUUAGAAAUACAGGUGACCUGAAGAAGCUCAUGAAAAACAUGAAUAUGCCUUUUUCAGAAUACAUUUCACCAAUUUUAAGAAGUCCCUGACAUCAUAACCUUGUUUCCUUCUAAUGAACCUGGAACUGCAGAGUUAAUAUUGUUGACUCUGUGUCAGAUUGCUUGUUUUGUUCCUGGAUUCUUCAGUGAUCAUGAGCAGAGUCUGAGUGAACCUGCUGUCAGACAGGUUGGCCUGAUUGACGAUGCCAUCGUCCAUCGCCGAUGGCUGAUAGACAUCACGAUGCUGCGCCGGAAACAGCGUCAUCAGCUCCAGUAUCUUGCCCGUGCAUCUGUUGUCAUGCGACAGAGAAGUCACGUUCUAUAGACAGUUUCUAUAGACAGUUGUGAACGUGCUGACAGCUGGUUGCCCAGGCUAUGGAUUAAAGGUAAUACUGUUGUAAGUAGUGUUCAUUUUCUCCUAAAUACCGAUCAUUUCGCUUCAUUAGACCUCAAUGUAUCACCAGUAGCCACCGGUAUUGAUUUGGUCUUUUUUUUUUCUGGACAUCCACACAGCACCACAGUAUUAUCAACUAGAGAUCAACCGAUAGUGGAUUUUUCCAAUACUGAUAGCUAGUUUGGACCACACUGGCCGAUACCGAUUUAUAAACCAAUAGUUUUUAAAAUGAAUACUGAACAAAAUGGAUACUGAACGAGAGCAGAGGUCGCGCUGCGGGUUCCCGGGUUUGUGUCCAUUCUCGGACCAUUCCAUGUAUUUCAACUGUAGAAAAGGUUGUUCCGAGCCGAAACUGACUUCUUUCAUAUUUUCGACCAAUAUACAGAAAACUACAUCAGUAUAUCAUCAUAAACACAAACGUUUUUGUCUUACAUGAAUGUAAACAGAUGAGAAAGAAAACACACAUGUACAGUAUUUUUGUUUAAAGAGACAACAGCCUAAUAAAUGCGUCUGUCAUUAAUGUUAAUCAAAGAACAAAAGAAACAAAAGAAAAUCAUUCACUGAUCUCGACUGAAUAUAUUUAAUAACUUUAAUUGAUUAAUCUUUAUUUUAUUUAUAAAAAGAAAACUAUGCAGUGUUUUUAAACUUUUAAUUACAGU